rnacentral:rRNA from 1 species
AUUGAACGCUGGCGGCAGGCCUAACACAUGCAAGUCGAACGAGUGGCGGACGGGUGAGUAAUGUCUGGGAACCUGCCUGAUGGAGGGGGAUAACUACUGGAAACGGUAGCUAAUACCGCAUACCAUCGGAUGUGCCCAGAUGGGAUUAGCUAGUAGGUGGGGUAACGGCUCACCUGGGCGACGAUCCCUAGCUGGGCUGAGAGGAUGACAAGCCAAACGGGAACUGAACCACGGUCAAGACUCCUACGGUAGGCAGCGGUGGGGAAUAUUGCACAAUGGGCGCAAGCCUGAGGCAGCCAUGCCGGGUGUAUGAAGAAGGCCGUCGGGUUGAAAAGUACUUUCAGAGGGGAGGCGUUACCCGAAGAAGAAGCACCGGCUAACUCCGUGCCAGCAGCCGCGGUAAUUC